rnacentral:lncRNA from 1 species
GCGAUCUUGGCUCACUGCAAGCUCUGACUUUCGGGUUCACGCCAUUCUCCUGCCUCAGCCUCCCGAGUAGCUGGGACUACAGGUGCCUGCCAGCACGCCCGGCUAAUUUUUUAUAUUUUUAGUAGAGACGGGGUUUCACCGUGUUAACCAGGAUGGUCUCAAUCUCCUGACCUCGUGAUCCGCCCGCCUCGGCCUCCCAAAGUGCUGGGAUUACAGGCCUGAGCGACCGCGCCCGGCCCUAUAUGUAGUUUUUUGAGAACCCUUCAUACUGCUUUCUAUAAUGGCUAUACUAAUUUACGUUCCCAUAAACAGUGUUCUUGACUGUUCUAUUUCUACCAUGUUGUUACAUCAGCAUUGGCUCUUGUCGUUGGUUUGUUUCCUUAGAAUUGCCAGGUAGAAACUGGAAAUUCUAAUUGACUCAAUUGUUUUUAUUUCAGUCAUAUAAUCUUCUGGCCAAGUCUUACAGCAAAGAAUUUUACAUUAAAAAGAAGGAAGAGAAAGCAAGCAAGCAAGCAAGAAGGGUGGUAAUGAGAAGCUGAGAGCAGUGUGCCAACUCGCAAUGCCAUCUUCGCUGACAUGUAAAAAUAGUUGUGUUUUAACAAGUGUGCUUUGCUUAAAUGAAAUAGGUGGAUUUCUAGAAAUGAAAUUGCUGCAGCAAAAGGACUGCAUAAUGUAAACACUCUUGAGACAGAUGACCAAUUUGUUUCCUGCAGUUUGUUCGCAUUUACACACUUCUAACAAUAUGGAGAUGUAUGUCUCACUGAAAUCAUGAUGACAACAGAGUUUUUUGCUUCUGUCUGCCAAUUUUUCCUUUGGGGCACUCAUCAUUUUGAUUACUUAAAUAUGCAUCUUAUGGUAGAAACUGGAACCACUGUCUUGAAUCAAAAGAUGGAAGAAGCUUCUCUUGAAGAUUAAAGGGACACAAGACAGAAGUUGUCUGUGUCCCUGAGGGCUUAGCAGAGGAGACUUGACCUACUUUCUUGGGCUUGUUGUGACAUCUAUUUUGUUUAAGAAUUACAAUGUUCCUGAAAAGCCACUUUCCUGAGAAGAACUGCAACAGAUUUUCAUGAUAUCAAGAAGGCUUUAUGUUCCUGUAAGAAAGUUUGGCUGUAAGUUCCUAUCAAGAUUCUACAAGUACUUAAGACAGAUGGAUCCUGGAGGUUACCAGUAUGAAGGAUUGAACAGGUCCUGCUGUAUGAUCUGGGGAAAUGGGCCCUAAAUGAAUGAACAAUGAAGAACGUAUCUGCAUGGUUUCUUGUGUGGACAUAUCUGGAAGCUUACUGGAAAAAUUAAAGUGAUUGACUUUAAUACCUGCCCACAAUAACAACACAAAUCCCAGGUCUUCUGACUUCUGCCUAAGAAUGUAGACAUCUAGAAGGAGUACCCAUCUGCCUUCUAGCAAGAGAAAGAUAGAUGGUCCUCAAAAUCCUAAUUUUUCUGGAACCUAUUGGAGAGCUAAUGCUGCAGGACAACAAGUAGCCUGGCAUCUGAGGAAAGACAGGUGCCUCUGCGGACAGAUAGAGAACAAGCAUGGAUUCACCUGUGUAAGAGCAUAAGAGUAAGAGAAGGCCACCAUACAAGUGAAUAAAAAGAAGUCACAGUGACUUUUAAUUAAUUUUCAAAGACUGCUUCUCUGAUACUGUGAGAGUAUGGAAGCUAUGAAGACAGCCAGUUGCAGGCUUUUCUCCAUAGACUUCACUAUGUGCUGAUGAAAAAAGUUUAUUGGCAGGGCAGGUACUAAUAUAGACUACUUUGGAGAUGCAGCCUGAAGAAGAGGUGCAUCCACUGCUGUAGGAAACACAGGAACCCAUCUUUGGUUUCUUCUCACAUAAGGAAAAAAGACUUUUAAGAUGCUGGGGAAUAGCAGAAAGCUCUUGGCCCAGUGCAAGGAGAAGAUGUCUCCAUUGUAGGUAGGGGAAGGAAAAAAAAAAAAAAAAAGGAAAUACUUUAUCCAUAGGUCGAAGCAAGAAAUGUGCUCAGAAGAGCCCAGACCAGUAAAGGUCUCCUUCCAUUGAGUUGGAAGAAGCUCACUGAGAAAAUCCAUAUUCUAAGACUCAGGGAGACAAUGACUGCUUAAACUGAGGCUGAAUCAGGAUGACAGAGAACCUCGUCCACAACCGUAACGCCUCAACCUCCAAGACAGAAGCAACAGAUUAACACUGGAGAUGACUAGAGAAUUUCCCUGUGAGGGGCAGUGGCACAGGGAAGCCCUAAUGAGUGGAGCAGAAACAUCGUGAAAACCCACCAGCAAACUAUCUCCAACCUAAGAACAAACAGGAAUUUAAAGACAGUGGUGAACAAAACUGAAAAUUGGGCUCAACUCUUGAGAUAAAUUUACUCACCUUCCCACAAUAAUAGCCUAGCAGAAGACAAAUGACAUUUACCUAACACAUAAAUACUACUUUUAUCAGUCUCUACCACUCUGAACACUAUGUCUGGAAAUUAAUAAAAAAAUUAACAGACACAAAAAUCAAAUUAAAAACAAAACACACAACCCUUACUGUCAAGAGACAAAGUAAUGAACUGAACAAGACUUAGAGAUGAUCCAGAUGUUGCAACAAUCAGACAGGUAAUUGAAAAUAACUAUGGUUAAUAGGUUAAAGGUUGUAAACAAAGAUGUACAACAUGCAUGGAUAGAUAAAGAUUUCAGCAGAGAAAUGAAAAUGACAAGAAAGAGCCCCAGGAAAGUGCCAGAAAUGAGAACCUCGAUAAGAAAUAUGAAGAAUGCCUUGGGUGGGCUCACCAGUAGACUUGACACAGCUAAGCAAAGUGAUAGAGGAUGUGAAAGUCAGUUAAUAGUAAUUACCUAAACUGUCAAAUGAUAAAAGAGUGAAGAAAAAAGGAAACAAAACACUCAAAUGCCGUAAGAAAAUAUCAUUAGUGUGAUAUAUGUGUCAUUGAAAUCCUAGAGAAAACAGAGAGAGAAUGUGAGGCAGAAGAAAUAUUUGAAGAGAUAGUGGUUACAAAAUUUUAAAGAAUAAUUUAUCAAACUAUAGAUAUAAUAACUUCAGAGAACCCAAAGUAAUUGAUUGGAUAGUAAUUGAUUGACUAGAAAUCAAUAAUGAAUUCGCAGAUGUGAACAGUAUUAUCAAAGCCUUCACCAACCAAAUCGACUUUUAUUGAACACUAAAUAUAAGCAGAAUAUACAUAAUUUUCAAGUGCAUGUAGAACAUAUAGUAUAGUCUAUAUAUCGUGGUUCUGGCCAUAAUUCAAACCUCAAUACAUUUAAAAACAUGUACAUAGUAUAUUCUUUGAUCAUAAUGGAAUUAAAAUAGAAAUCACAAACAGGUAUCUGGAAUAAUUGCCGAAUAUUUUUACUGAUGAGCACACAUCUAAAUAUCACUUUAAAUGGCAAAAACCACAAUUUUUUUUUUACCAACCUAAUAACUCACAGGUCAAAGAGAAAAUCAUAGGGGACAUCUGAAAAUAAUUUGAAUUGAAUAAAAGAAAAUAAUCUCUCUCUCAUGCAAAAUUUGCGGGAUGCAAAUAAAGCACAAUUUAAAGAGAAAUGUAUAGCAUUUCAUGUUUAUAUGAAAAAAGUCUUAAAUCAGUGAUUUAAAAUUCCUCCUUAAGAAACUUGAAAAAAGUAAAUUAAACCAAAGUAAGUAACUGCAAAGUAAUAAUAAAGAACAUAAAUAAAAUUGGAAAUGGAGCAGCAGAGAAAAAUCAGUGAAAGCCUAUGAUGAGACUCACCAACAAGGAAGAAGACACAAAUUAUUAUAUCACAAAUUAAAAAGAGGACAUUGUUGCAGACCCUACAUACAUUAUAUUCUCUAUAGAUAUAGAAAAAAAUUAUAUUCUCUAUAGAUACAGAAAAAUAAUUUUACAAAAUUCAAUAUUCAUUCAUGAUAAACUCUAAAUUUUAGGUAGAAUGGAAUUUACCCAACAUGAUAAGAAACAGCUACAGAAAACCUACAGCAAACAUCAUACUUACUGAUAAAAGACUGAACCCUCACUCUAAGGCAAAAGAAAAAUGUUCUUACCACCCACAUUUAACAUUAUACUGGAGGUUCUAGGCAGUGUAAUAAGAAAAAGAACUAGGCAUACAAAUAGAAAAAAAAAUAUGUGCAAUUGUAGUUAUUCACUUUCAACAUGAUUGUAUUUGAAGAAGAUUUCAAAGAAUGUACAAAACAAAGUUACUGAAGAUACAAGAUCACAAUUUAAAAAUUUAAUGGUAUUUUUAGGUACUGACAAUGAACAGUAAGAAAUGGGAAUACCACCAUUGAUGGUGGAAAAAGAUGAGCUACUUAGGUAUAAAUGUAAUAAAAUAUUUAAAAGAUGUGUAUGGUAAAGGCUACAAAACAGUGAAGAAAGAAAUCAAAAAGGCUGAAAUAAAUGGAGAGGCAUAUUAUAUUCAUGUAUUGAAAGACUCAGUAGUGUUAAGAUGCCAAAUAUGUCCAAAUUCCAAGUUGAUCAAAUCAGUAAAUACAAUCCAAAUCAAUGUCAUGGCAAUAUUUGUCAUAGAAAUGCACAAGAGAUUAUAAAAUUUAUGUGGAAUGGCAAAUGAACAAGAAUAACCAAAAUUGUUUUGCCUAGAAAAACAAACUUGACAUUCACAUGCUGCCUUAUUUCAAGACUUUUUAUAAAGCUAGAGAUAGUAACUCAGUAUGGAAUUGGCCAAUGAAUAGGCAUAUAGAGUGUAACUGAAAUGAGAGUCCAGAAACAGACUCACACGUAUACAGUAAUUGACAUUUGCCAAAGUGCAGAGGCAAAUAAAUGGAACAAGUGAUAGUCUUUUCAAAAAUUGUGCUGGAAUAAUUUCACAUCCGUAUGCAAUAACUUUUUUAAGUUAGUAACAAACCCUAAAUCUCUUUAUCAUCUGUUUUAAGUAACAAGUAUUUUAAUUGUUUCAUUUUAUAUCCAUGGAGUUAGAAAAUAUAUGUGAUAUUUUCCAGGGAGCCAUUUCUUAUAAAUCCACAGACUGUAGGUUUCUUUACCAUAAACAAUACUAACUAGAAACAUUUUAGUCAAAAGAUUUCUGAGAUUAGGAUUUUUCUCCUAGUAAGUACCAUUGGUUUAUUUACCAUAAAGUCUCUUGUUUACACGUUUACAAUACAAUGUGACCAGAUCAUCUGCCUUCUUUCUUUCUCAAAAUUGUCCUCCAGAUAUGGUAAUGAAAUGAUUGAAGAGUAGCCUUAUAGCCUCUUCCUUUCCAUAUCCCUUCCAAAGCCUGUUAGAAUAUGUUCUGAGGUAAUUAUUUCAAAAGGAGUUCAUAGGAGGUCAACUUUGAGUUCUUGCUUGUUUGGAAAAUUCUUUAUUAUGCCUAUGAUUCAUUUAUAAUAUGUCUGGGUAUAUAGAAUUCAGAAUGCUUUUUGUUUUGUUGUUGUUGGUUUUUGGCUUGUUUGUUUUCUGUCAUUUGUUUGAAUCCAUUGCUGCUUGUUGUUCUAGGAGAAAGUGUUACAGCUGAGAAAUACGGCAGUGGUCUUAUGUUCAUUCAAUUGUAGUCAAUUUGAUUUUUUUUCUUGGAAAUUUUAGGCAUGCUUGCGUAUGUGUAAAAAUGCCCUGAGGUUUAAAUUAAUGACUUGUGUAUUUACAACCAGUAUACUUUCUUCCCUUUACUAUAUGUAUAUGUGUUAAGCUUCAAUUAAGGGGUUAAGAAAAGUAAAGUUUUAUACAAUACAAUAAAGCUGUAAAUUUUAAAUUUCAAAAUAAAUUUUAA